AGGAAAGGGACAGGUGGACAGUGACUUGGUGAUAUCUGGGUCCCCAGCUUCAGUCCUGCCUACAGUCAGCUGUGUUGUUGGGUUUCCCAGUUUAUGUGAGUGAUUCAGCUCCUUUUGAGCACAAGCAGUUUGAAUUGGGUUUCUGUCAUUGACAAUCACAAAACACAACAAAACAAAAUCAUACCUAAUGCACAUUUAGCUGUAUAAUUUCUACUACAUCGAAUUUCACUUGUUUACUUAACAUUAUAUACAGGUUUUUUACCUAAGACUUAUGAACAUUUUUAUAGUUUAUAAAAUAAUCUUGUAUUUACAUAUCACUUAAUUUUAACACAAUUAUGUGAGGUAGGGCAUAUAUAUUUUUUUAUUUAGUAAUUUUUUUUUUUUUUUUUUGAAACACAGUCUCACUCUGUUACCCAGGCUGGAGUGCAGAGAUAUAAUCAUAGCUCACUGCAACCUUGAAUUCCUGGGCUCAAAGGAUCCUCCUGCCUCAACUUCCCAAAGUGCUCGGAUUAUAGGUGUGAGCCACUGAGCCUGGCUAAUUUUUUUUUUUUUUUUUGAAGAGAUGAGGUCUCAGGCCGGGCACGGUGGCUCACGCCUAUAAUCCCAGCACUUUGGGAGGCCAAGGAGGGUGGAUCACAAGAUCAGGAGUUUGAGACCAGCCUGGCCAAUAUGGUGAAAUCCCAUCUCUACCAAACAUACAAAAAUUAGCCAGGCGUGGUGGUGCAAGACUACAGUCCCAGCUACUCGAGAGGUUGAGGCAGGAGAAUCGCUUGAACCCGGGAGGUGGAGGUUGCAGUGAGCCAAGAUCGCGCCACUGCACCCCGGUCUGGGCAACAGAGUGAGACUCUGUCUUUAAAAAAAAAAAAAAAAGAGAUGAGGUCUCACCCUGUCACCCAGGCUGGAGUGAAGUACGCAAUUAUAGCACACUGGAGCCUUGAACUCCUGGGCUCAAGGGAUCCUCCUGCCUCAGCCUCCAGAGUAGCUGGGACUACAGGAGCAGGCUACCAUGCCUGGCUGAAUUUUUUUUUUUUUUUUUUUUUUUUGAGAUGGAAUCUCGCUCUGUCACCCGGGCUGGAGUGCAGUGGUGUGAUCUUGGCUCACUGCAACCUCCACUUCCUGGGUUCAAGCGAUUUUCCUCCCUCAGCCUCCUAAGUAGCUGGGAUUACAGUCUUGCACCACCAUGCCUUGCUAAGUUUUAUUUUUAUUUAUUUAUUUUUUGAGAGAGGGUUUCACUCCCGUUGCCCAGGCUGGAGUGCAGUGGUGUGAUCUCAGCUCAUUGCAACCUCUGCCUCCCGGGCUCAAGUGAUUAUCCUGCCUCAGCCUCCCCAGUAGCUGGGACUAUAGGCAUGUGCCACCGCUCCCAGCUAAUUUUCAUAUUUUUUUUAGAGAUGAGGUCUUGCCAUGUUGCUCACUUGGUCUCGAACUCCUGAGCUCAAGUGAUCGGCCCACCUCAGCCUCCCAAAGUGCUGGAAUUACAGGUGUGAGCCACCACGCCUGGCCUAAUUUUUUAUUUUUUGUAAAGAUAGGAUCUCAUUAUGUUGCCCUGGCUGCUGUUGAACUCCUGGGCUCAAGUGAUCCUUCUGCCUUGGCCUCCCAAAGUGCUGAGAUUAUAGGUGAGAGUCACCGUGUCCAGGCAAGAAAUAUAUUUUACAGUAACCCCGCACACACGCACACACUCUUAAAGUUGCACAAAACAAUACCUACCUUAGUGCCUGUGACAUUCUCUCAUAUUUUCUAUUCUAUUUUUUUAAAAUUCUGGCUGGGCGCAGUGGCUCACGCCUGUCAUCCCAGCACUUUGGGAGGCUGAGGAAGGCAGAUCACAAGGUCAGGAGUUUGAGACCAGCCUGGCCAACAUGGUGAAACCCCUGACUCUACUAAUAAUAGAAAAAUUAGCUGGGUAUGGUGGCAGAUGCCUGUAAUCCCAGCUACUUGGGAGGCUGAGGCAGGAGAAUUGCUUGAACGUGGGAGGUGGAGGUUGCAGUGAGCCAAGAUUGCGCCACUGCAUUUUAGCCUGGGUGACAGAGCAAGACUCUGUCUCAGAAAAAAAAAAAAAAUUCUGUUUUAUUUCAGCACUUUGGAAGGCCAAGGCAGGUGGAUCCCUUGAGUCCUGAAGUUUGAAACCAGCCUGGGCAAUAUAGGGAGACCCUGUUUUCUUGCUGUGUCCAACUACCUAGAACAACCAUUGAGUCAGGAGAAAGAAUUAUGGAUCUCCUGCCCAAGGACCCAGAUGAAAGGUCUCUUUGCUUCAGGGCGCUCUUAAAAUAAAAAGAAAAGAAAAGAAAAAAUAUUCUGGUUGCAAUCUACAGUUGUUUUUUUUUUUUUUUUUUCUGGAAUGAAGUGGCGCCAUCUCAGCUCACUGCAACCUCUGCCUCCCGGGUUCAGGCGAUUCUCCUGCCUGAGCCUCCCAAGUAGCUGGGACUACAGCCGCCUACCACCACACCCAGCAAGCUUUUUUUUUUUUUUUUUUUUUGAGUCAGAGUCUCGCUCUGUCGCCCAGGCUGGAGUGCAGUGGCGCAAUCUCGGCUCACUGCAAGCUCCGCCUCCCGGGUUCACGCCAUUCUCCUGCCUCAGCCUCUCCGAGUAGCUGGGACUACAGGCGCCCGCCACCACGCCCGGCUAAUUUUUUUGUAUCUUUAGUAGAGACAGGGUUUCAUCGUGGUCUCGAUCUCCUGACCUCGUGAUCCGCCCGCCUCGGCCUCCCAAAGUGCUGGGAUUACAAGCGUGAGCCACCGCGCCCGGCCCCCAGCAAACUUUUGUAUUUUUAGUAGAAACAGAGUUUCACCAUGUUGGCCAGGCUGGCCCCAAACUCCUGAGCUCAAGUGAUCUUCCCGCCUUGGCCUCCCAAAGUGCUGGGAUUACAGGCAUGAACCAAUGUGCCUGGCCACAAUCCACAGGUUUUUGUUGUUGUUGUUUUAAAUUUUUUUUUUUUAGAGACAGGGUCUUGCUCUGUUGCCCAAGUUGGAGUGCAUUAGCAUGAUCACAGUUCACUGCAGUCUUGAACUCCUGGAGUUUUCUGUUCUUCUGUAACUACCCUGUGUUAUUCUUGUCUCAAUUUUUGAAUGGAAGAUAAUUGUUUAAGGUGUACAAGAUGGAGGCAAUAUGGUGUGGUGAUUGAGUCUUGGCUCGUGGGUCUAACAGAUUUGUGUUCAAAGCCUGGCUUUGCCACUAACUAGCUGUGUCCUUAGGCAAAUUAUACUCCAAGUCUCAGAUUCCUAAUUUGCAAAAUAAGAAUAAUAAUAAAUUAUAGUUCCUGCCCCAUUAGUUUAUUAUGAGGAUUUUUUUUUGGUAGAGACAUGGUCUCGCCAUGUUGCCCAGGCUGUUCUCAAACUCCUGGCCUCAAGUGAUCUGCCUGCCUCGGCCUCCCAAAGUGCUGGGAUUGCAGGCGUGAAUUUUUGUGCCAGCCUACUAUGAGGAUUAAUGCUUGUGAAGUGUUAAAUAUAGCGUUUGGUACGCAAUAAAAAUUCAAUUAAUGUUGUCAGUUACUCUUAAGUAUAAAUUGGGGACCAGGAAGGCAAAAAUGGAGUGUGUUUUUUCAGAUGGACAGAGAGGAGCCAGGACACAGCUCAGCUUGCUCAUGCUCAGAGAGUUAAGCUGCUGACCCUGAAGGCAGGGGGCACACAACUGUGUGUGGGAGCUGGACUAAGCAGCCGAGACAGGGCAGACAGUGUGAGAAAGCUGUUGAUGAGAGCUGCUGCUGGAUAAAAUCAUCUUUCACCUGUCUACGGCUCCCCAAGUGUUCUUUCUGCUCAUCCACCCACUACCUCUGGACCUCAACAUGACCUUUGGCAUAGUCUAAACCUGACACUCAUAACAGUUACAAAUUUCUUUGUCCCUUCUCCACUCCCACUUUUUUGAGACAGGGUCUUGCCCUGUUGCAGAGGCUGGAGUGCUCUGGUGUGAUCACGACACACUGCAACCUUGACCUCCUGGGCUCAAAUGAUCCUCCCACCUCAGCCUCCCAAGAAGCUGGGAUGUUCCACAGGCACGUUCCACUACACCCAGCUAAUUUUUAAAUUUUUUGUAGAGAGGGGGUCUCCCUAUGUUGCCCAGGGUAAGAAUUCCUAAACUCAAAUAGGCCUUUUCCUUCCAAGACUUUAGUUCUUGGGUGAUUUUACAGGUGCUUCUAUUUUCCCUUCAAGUGGAACAAAUUGGCCCCCAGCCCAAUCUGCAGAGACAGCUUUGCCUUGGGGAAGUUACUUGAUGUAGAACAAGGACAGGAGACAGGUCAAGUUGUAGUUAUUUGACUUUCGUGAUUAAGAGAGCCCUGAAGCAAAGAGACCUUUCAUCUGGGUCCUUGGGCAGGAGAUCCAUAAUUCUUUCUCCUGACUCAAUGGUUGUUCUAGGUAGGAACCAGAGCCACUUGCUGGAAGCCUGCCUUGACUUAUUUGAAUCGAUUACUGCUUUUCUUUCUUUUCCAUUCUAAGCUAUUAUGUUUUUAUGGUACUAAGCAGAUUUUCUUGAAAACUACUAGAAAACUGCCUGCUACCUGAAAGCAGCAGCUGUUUUCUUCUCUCCUGUAUUUUAUGCCACCCCAAUGCUUCUCCUAUGCAGCUUUGUCACCUAAGUUAUUUCCCUGAGGCAAAAUUUCCCCAUUCUUUCAGCUCCCCUCCUCCCAGAUCGAGAAAUUCUAGGCAUGCCCUGGACUUCUCUCUUGUAGUCUCUGGGUUUUUUUCCUUUCCAUCAGGCACCAAGUCCGGAGUUUGCGUGGCUCUGAUGUCUGCUCGUGGAUCACUGAUUGACCAGGCUGAAGCCAGCGGGUCCUUUAGAUCCCAAGGGAUAAUAUAGAGCAGGCAGCAUUUCCACCCACGCUCUGAGACUUCUCAUAAUUGCAUCAGUGCUGCACGUACCUAUGUGGAAAAUACAAGUGCACUGUCAGGCUUGGGGUUAAUGGUUUCACCUCACGUCUCAGAGGAGCAGAGUCCUAGUGCACCUGUGGAGCCUGAACCAGCUGCACUCCAAGAGGAGCAGAGAAGGGAAGCAAUUUCUUACUCCACCCCUUUCAACCACUGGCACUCACAGGCUUGCCACCUGCUCUUGCUCCUGCCAAAUGGUAUAGAGAUGAAAUCUUAGAAUAAAAGUUUUUGAACUCAAUAAAUUGUUAAUUAAUAUCUAGGAGUGGCAGAUAUAUAAUGCUUCUCUUUUCACGACAGGUCAAAGAUGAAAUCUGAUUAGGCUUUGGAGGGCGUGGUUUGCCUCUUGAAAUUCCUUGCCCCUCUUUAGAAAGCUGUGUUGCUUAGAGCACCCAAAAGUGCCCUUUAUCUAACUGAGGGAGGCGCACUUGUCUUCAUAUAUAGAGGCAGGAGCUGGCAUUGGGAAAGUCAAACCAGUUCUGCACCAUGAGGAAGAAGCAGCUUAAGACGGAGGCAGCUCCACACUGUGAACUAAGAGAAAUUCUGUAUGAAAACCAACCUGCUCCAGGAAGUCAAGCUCCCCCACCUUUUUUUUGGUCCCCGAGUUUGUUUUUACUUUGCACUUUAUUUGGAUUUUUCUCUUUGCAGUUCACGCUCCUUUCUUCAUU